UGCGUAGGCGGUUAUAUUAGUUAAGUGUUAAAUCUUUGGGCUCAACCCAAAGGCUGCACUUAAAACGGUAUAACUAGAAGGAGUGAGAGGUGUACGGAACUCAAGGUGUAGGGGUGAAAUCCGUUGAUAUCUUGAGGAACACCAAAUGCGAAGGCAGUACACUGGCACUUUCUUGACGCUGAGGCACGAAAGCGUGGGUAGCGAAUG
rnacentral:rRNA from 1 species